AAAGGAAGAUCACAUUAUAAUGAUAUAAGUAAUAAGAAAAACGUUUCUUAUUUGGUUAUCACUUGAAACACAAUGAUCAAGAUCACUCUUGAUUCAAUUAGUAGUUUUGAACAAUUAAUUGGGCAUUCUUAAAAUUGUUUUAAAAUGUCAAAUGUGUUAGUAAUUAAACCAAGAAAGAAGUGUCUAAAUCUAUAAAAGGUUUAAAGACUUUAGUCACUUAAAUAACAAGACAUUAAACUUAGUGAAGAUUGAAACAAAUAAAGCUUGAAAUGUUUCAAAGCUACUACACAAUGUCUUCUACCAAUAUAAUCCACUUUUAUACAUUUUUGAAUGUAUAAAAUGAUUUCUCAUUAAAGUCAUGAGAAAUAGUGGGAGGUGUGAAAAUGGAUAUAAACUUGAAUGUGAUUGG
rnacentral:lncRNA from 1 species